UGGGGAAUCUUGGACAAUGGGGGCAACCCUGAUCCAGCCAUGCCGCGUGAGUGAUGAAGGCCUUAGGGUCGUAAAGCUCUUUCGCCUGUGAAGAUAAUGACGGUAGCAGGUAAAGAAACCCCGGCUAACUCCGUGCCAGCAGCCGCGGUAAUACGGAGGGGGUUAGCGUUGUUCGGAAUUACUGGGCGUAAAGCGCACGUAGGCGGACCAGAAAGUUGGGGGUGAAAUCCCGGGGGCUCAACCCCGGAACUGCCUCCAAAACUAUUGGUCUAGAGUUCGAGAGAGGUGAGUGGAAUUCCAAGUGUAGAGGUGAAAUUCGUAGAUAUUUGGAGGAACACCAGUGGCGAAGGCGGCUCACUGGCUCGAUACUGACGCUGAGGUGCGAAAGUGUGGGGAGCAAACAGGAUUAGAUACCCUGGGUAGUCCACACCGUAAAACGAUGAAUGCCAGUCGUCGGGUAGCAUGCUAUUCGGUGACACACCUAACGGAUUAAG
rnacentral:rRNA from 1 species